rnacentral:rRNA from 1 species
CCUACGGGCGGCAGCAGUGGGGGAUAUUGCACAAUGGGGGAAACCCUGAUGCAGCGACGCCGCGUGGGUGAAGAAGCGCCUCGGCGCGUAAAGCCCUGUCAGCAGGGAAGAAAAUGACGGUACCUGAAGAAGAAGCCCCGGCUAACUACGGGCCAGCAGCCGCGGUAAUACGUGGGGGGCAAGCGUUAUCCGGAUUUACUGGGUGUAAAGGGGGCGCAGACGGCGAUGCAAGCCAGGAGUGAAAGCCCGGGGCCCAACCCCGGGACUGCUCUUGGAACUGCGUGGCUAGAGUGCAGGAGGGGCAGGCGGAAUUCCUGGGGUAGCGGUGAAAUGCGUAGAUAUCAGGAGGAACACCGGUGGCGAAGGCGGCCUGCUGGACUGCAACUGACGUUGAGGCCCGAAAGCGUGGGGAGCAAACAGGAUUAGAUCCCUUGUAGUC